AUUUCUCUUCAUAUGGCCGGCCAAAGCAAGAACAAAGGAAGAAAAAAAAGAACAAGAACCCUAGGGUGAAAAUUCAAGAGAAAAUUGGUGGAAUUCAAGUAAUCAAGCAAUCAAAGGUAAAAUUUCUUGAUUUUGACUUGUGAUCUACCUUUCCCAUAUAUUCUUUUUCAUUUUCCAUGGUUGAAUCACAUGAUUUCAUGAUGGGUAUCUUGCUGGCUGAACACUUAGAGAGAGGUUUUGAUGCUUGAUUUGGUUAGAUUUCAAUGUAUUUUAGUGCUUUUAGUUAAUUGGUGAUGUGUAACAUGAAAAUCAAGCAAGAAAAUUUCAUGUUCUUCCAUCACCCAUCAUUGGCCGAAUUCUCCAUGUGGAAUAUUGAGGAUGAUUUUGAUUUUAUUUCAAGUGAUUUGGUUAGGAAUUAGUGAUAUAUGGUGUGAGAAUCAAGUAGGAAAAAUUAUAGUGUUGAUGCACCCACCAUGGUUGAAUUUUCGAAGAGAAAAUGUGAGGAUGAUUUUACCAUAUUUCAAGUUAUUUAAUUUGUGUUUGAUGAUUUGGAGUAUUGGGAGAAAUAUGGAAUUAUUUGGAGUUGAAUUGGACGUAUUGGCCAAUUAAUCGGGUGAUAGAUCAAAUUAGUCCAAUACUGUCUUAUUUAGGUACAUAAUUGAAUUUGUGUAGAACACCGUAUUUAGAUAGUUACUCGAGUAUUUCAUAUCCCAUUUCAUGCAUUAGUAUAGAGCCUAAAUUGGUUUUAUAACAAUUUAGCACAAAUGUAGUAAAUGGCUUAUUGUGCAUUAUGUCUAGGUGGUGAGCAUUCUGGCAAAAGUAAAGAGAUAGUACCCGAGGAUCAAGAAUCGGAGUACUCAAAAUUCGACUCCCGAAAUAAUGAGUAACCUUAUCAUCAUUUUAAUUAUCUAAAGCAGUCUUUUUAUUUGAUUUUAUGAAUUUUAUGGAAAAUUAGUUUAAAUGGUUAAUUUUAAGCUUUUAUAAACAAAAUGUGUUUAAAUGAAACGGUUUUAUAAAUUGUCUUGAAAUUGAAUGAUGGCUUUGAAAAUAGAGUAAUUGGAGACCACUUGAUGUGUUGUAAAUUUAUGGUUCUAAUUGAUUGGCUUAUGGAAAUAUUGGCAUGAAUGGCUGAAUUGGUAUUUGUGUUGAAAAUGUAUAAACUGUUGUUUGCCUUGAUAGGCUGGAUAAUAAUAAAAUUGCCAUGUCAUGCUGUUGAAUUUUUAUUGUGUGGUGGGUUUAGCUUGCUGCAAUGGACGGGUUCUAUGGACUAGCCUAUUAGAGGGGCACGGAAUCUAGUUAUAUUUGUACCUUGGUCAGAGAGGCGCGUAAGGUAUCUCUUGAGGUAUGGUUAGAGUUCACGUCACGCCGAACCACCUCGUGAUGAUGAACUCCGCUAACGCCAAGGAAUGGCUGUGUUUUUCAAACUAAAAAUAUGUUUACGUGUAUACAAAAUUUUUAACAGCCUUGGCUGGCUCGAUUGGAUGCCUCUGAUCAAGGUGUCAUCAAGUACUAUUUGAAGGCAUGAGCCAAAUAUUUAUGAAAGUCAUAAGCCUUAUUGAGAAAUUAAAUGAAAUACAACCGUUUGCAUGGGUUGGGAUGAAUUUUCAAGUUGUGAAAUACGUAUUGUGAUGGGAUAUUUUGAUUGUCUCCUAUUACUCGGCUUUAGCUGAUUUAAAUGAUGUUUGUUUACUCAUUGGGAUUUUAUAAUCUCACCACCCUCCUUUCCAUCCAUUUCAGGCUCAGAAUAGGCUGUAGAUAGCUGAUUUCAUCGAGGGCUACCAUUGGAUUUGCAUCCUCCAAACUGUAGGUUCACAGUCUUCCUUACUUUUGGUUAUUCGGGAGCCCACUUAUUAUUGUAAAUUAAAUUAAAUACUCUGGCUUACUGUAUUACAGUAUGUAUGAAUUUAUUUUGUUUUUACGCUACAAAAAUUAUUUACGUAUAACUCUAAAAAUAUUAUUUUAUAAGAAAAUAGAAUAAUUUAUUGAAUAUUUUUUUAUUAUAUCCAAAUAAUCAUAAUUUUAUUU
rnacentral:lncRNA from 1 species